rnacentral:rRNA from 1 species
AUUGAACUCUGGCGGCAGGCCUAACACAUGCAAGUCGAGCGAGCGUCGUACGGGUGCGUAAUGUAUGGGGACUGCCCGAUAGAGGGGGAUAACUCCUGGAAACGGUAGCUAAUACCGCAUACUAUCGGAUAACCCAUAUGGGAUUAGCUAGUGGGUGAGGUAAUGGCUCACCUAGGCGACGAUCCCUAGCUGGUCUGAGAGGAUGAUCAGCCACACGGGGACUGAGAGACGGCCCAGACUCCUACGGAGGAAGCAGUGGGGAAUAUUGCACAAUGGGCGCAAGCCUGAUGCAGCCAUGCCGCGUGUAUGAAGAAGGCCCUAGGGUUGUAAAGUACUUUCAGUCGGGAGGCGUUACCGACAGAAGAAGCACCGGCUAACUCCGUGCCAGCAGCCGCGGUAAUUC